rnacentral:lncRNA from 10 species
CAGAAAUAAAAAUUUUAAUGGUUUAGAUCAGUGGUUCCCAACUCUGGGUAGAUUUUUGAGACAUGGUGUCUCUGUCACCCAAGCUACAGUGCAGUGGCAUGAUCACCUCAGUGUAAUUUCAAAUUCGUGUACUCAAGGUGUGUCCAGAGUUGGUUCCUUCCAGUGGGUUUGCGGUCUCGCUGACUUAACGGAGCCGUGGACCUUCGCCUUGAGUGUUACAGCUCUUAAAUGUGGCACAGGCCCAGAGUGAGCAGCAGCAAGAUGUAUCGUGAAGAGUGAAAGAACAGAGCUUCCACAGUAUGGAGGGGGACCCGAGCCGGUUGCCGCUGCUGGCUGGGGGGUGGCCAGCUUUUAUUCUCUUAUUUGUCCCCGCCCACGUCCUGCUGAUUGGUCCAUUCUACAGAACACUGGUUGGUCCAUUUUACAAACUUCUAGCCAGGCUGGAGUGCAUUGGUGUGAUCUCGGCUCACUGCAACCUCUGCCUCCCGGGUUCAAGCAAUUCUGCCUCAGCCUCCCUAGUAGCUGGGAUUACAGGCAUGUGCCACCACGCCCGACUAAUGCAUUUUUGGUAGAGAUGGAGUUUCUCCACGUUGGUCAGGCUGGUCUCGAACUCCUGGAACUCAGGUGAUCUGCCCGCCUCAGCCUCCCAAAGUGCUGGGAUUACAGGCGUGAGCCACUGUGCCCAGCCUGAUUGGUGCGUUUUCACAAGCACUGAUUGGUACAUUUUACAAACCUCCAGCUAGCCAGAGUGCGUUUUACAAUCCUAGCUAGAGUGUUGAUUGGUGCAUUCUACAAUCCCCUUGUAAGACAGAAAAGUUCUCCAAGUCCCCACGCAACUCAGAAGUCCAGCUGGCUUCACCUCUCAAAGGGAUCUUCCUGUCUCAGCUUCCUAAAUAGCUGGAAAUACAGGUGCAUGCCACCAUGCCCAGCUCAUUGUUAAUUUUUUUGUAGAGAUAGGGUCUCAUUUUUGUUGGCCAGGCUGGUCUCGAAUUCCAGGUGAUCCUUCCGCCUCAGACUCCUGAAGUGGCUGAGAUGACAGGUAUUUUUUUGAGGUUGUUUUGUUUUUAAUGCUUAUGGCCCAGUCUCUGAGAUUCUUAUUUUAUUGGUCAGAGUAGGACCCGGGCCUGGUUAUUUUAAAAGCUUCUAAGGUGAUUCUGAUAUGCAGCCAGGGUUGAGAACCAAUGGAUUAGACAUUGUAACUCUUCAUUAAAGACACAAAUUUCUUUUUCAGUUUAUGACUUCUAAUUAGCUGGCUGACUUUUG